GCCUUUGUGGUGUAAUGGUAGCGUAUUCGAGAGGUCCAGGGUUCGAAUCCCAGUGAGGGCA
rnacentral:tRNA from 1 species